AUGGUCCUAUCAUGCCAUUUCUUGAUGCAUAUUGUUCUUUACAGAGUUCUUGAGGAUCAACUUCACUUGGUUCUAGCAACUCAGCACUUUGUAGAUUGGGUAGCUCAAACAAGACUUCCACAUCAGCCUUAAAAGUUAAAUUAAAUAAGUUAAUUACUAAAAAUUUAUCAACAGAAUCUGAGAAAACACACAACAUGAAUCAGUUUAGUUGUGUACCUGAGAUGCAGUGAUACCUUUUACUUCAAGAGUUGAUCCACUUUGGAGUGUUUCUCCGGUGAUAUUGAUUUGUUUGCCACGAAGUUUUUCUAACUCUUCAAUUGGCCAUUGCAUUAAUUGCUUCCCAUUCUUAUCAAGCCAGAACUUCCUUGGAAUUGUCUACAUUGUAAAUAAACACUAAUCAUUCAUCAAAUCUUAUAACUAUUAUCUAGAUCAGGUUAUAAUAUAUAAUUAUAUAACGGAUAGCGCAAGGUUUUAAAUUGUAGUUGCAGUCACAUGCCGAUUCUUAAUAUUGCAAAUAGCUGUAAUCAAAUGCGAUUGAUGAAACAUCAACUGCAGUCACUUAUGUUUGCGUAGACAUAAAAAACCUUUAUUGGUCUAAAUCGAGAUCGCAAACAUUUUUUUAAACCUUGGCAUCACAGUCUAGAUCAAGACCGCAGACCUUUUUUUAAAUCUUGGUAUUCCGGUCUAGAUGAGAUCGCGUACCUUUUUUAAUCUUUAGUAUCGCGAACCAAAUCAAGAUUGCAUACCUUUUUAAAAAUGUUGGUAAAUCCUUAAAGCAAAUUAUAACAAAUUGAAAUCCUAUCAUGAACCUAAAAUAAAAUACCUGAAGACCAGCCCAUCCUUUUUGAAUGUCAUCUUCACUAGUGUCGGACUCUUCCGCCCAUGCCCAUAAUAUUCUCCUGUUCUUAGCAUGGUCAAAAAAUGACUUUGAAGCAUAAACCUUUCCAUAGUCAAAUCUCAAUUCCUUCCAAGUUCCAGUAUAUUUUACAUCAGGAACAAACUCUUCCUUAUCAGAUACAUAUUUUCCAAUAAAGUAAUAGUCAUGACGUCUACGUAGAUAGCUUAUCUUCAAGACAUGUCUAACACUUGAAUUUUCCAUAGUUGUAUCAACUCCAUUUGUGUUAUUGAUAUACACAGGAAAAAAAUCUGGACAUUCACAAACUCCGGUAUCAUCUGUUGCAAAGAAAGGUAUAGGAUCCACUAUCCACUUAACAAAAUCCUCACUUUUGUAAAGAAUAAUUUUUCCUUCAUCUCCAUUUUGAGCACCAAUAAUUACCCUCCAUUUUCCAUCCUUUCCUUGCCAUGCAGUUGAAGGAUCUCGGAAUUCACCGACUUCAACUCCACUAGGUGGAGUCAUCAAAGGAUUUUGAGGAUGUUUUUCCCAUUCCCUUAAGUAAGGAUCAGACAGAUUCUUUGGCAUGGCUAAAUUUUGAACUUGGUGUCUAUUUUGAUCAAUUCCUGUAUACAACAUAGCAGGUUUUUCACCUGGGAGUAUAGUGGCUGAACCUGACCAACAACUGUUUAUGUCACCAGGUAUAGUUGGUACAAUAGCAUCAUUUAGAUGAGUCCAAUUUAUGAGAUCAUUUGAUAUAGAAUGACCCCAUACCAUUUUCUCAUGACCAAAUGUUGCUGCAUCAGGGUUAUAUUGGUAGAAUAAAUGGUAAACACCUUUAUAGUACAUUGGUCCUGUCACAUCCAAAUAAAUACUUAUCAUUAGAUAAUCACUUUUGAAUAUGGUUUCAUUGAUGUGGUAUAGGCCAUUUCCAAACUAUUUUAGAUGUCUCGGCUCAACGACUUAAGUUAUGCCUGGGGACUACGAAGAAGUUAAACGAAAGAGAUUCUUAAAAUAUUAGAUUGAGAAGAUAAUUUCAACUUAUACAACUAGUAGUUAUAUGAAUCCUAUUAUAAUUUGAUCAAAUUUCAUAGGAAACAGAUGAAGUAAAUAAUAAAUAAUAAAAUAAAUAAAUAGCUAAGAGUAUGAAGCAUACCAUUAGGAUCUGCAUGAUGAAGAUGAUGGUUUUCAAUUUUAGUCAGCAAAACAUGUCAAAUGAUACAUAAAAGAGUUAGAUAUAACAUUUACACAUGUGCAAAAAGUAAAUGGAAAAUGGUGCUUUAGAUGAUACUCUACCAUUCAUCCAAUUUUUUAGGGGCUGAAAGUGGUACCAAGUUCUGUAUGGCUGUUCAGAAUUGAUAUUGUUUGGGGAUGCAUCCUCUCUAAUGUUCUCCAUGAUGAUAGAGCCAAGAUUAUUGGAAAGUCAACAAGAACUAGAUUGCAAAUAUGGUUUGGUUUGAUCAAGGACUGAUACAUUGCAAUAAUGCACUCAAUUUAUAAUCAAUCAUAUAGGCAAAUGCAUAAACUAUUAGAAUAUAUUUUUAUCAAUGACUUGACUUGACUUGCAUAAUUCUUGUAAUGUAACAUGGAUAUCUCUAUAAUAUUCAACAAGUAAAAAAUAGUUAUUUUUUUCAUAUCAAAAGAUAGGUUAAUAAGGAGAGGUGUUUAUAUUUUAAUGGAAAAUAUAAUAAUCCUAUUAUUAAUUACAUUGGUUGGGGACCUUCCUAGACAAAUAAUUUAUUGUUGAUUUCAUCACAAAGGCUUAUAGUUUUCCAAUUUCAAUAUUUAAAUAUUAAUAGUGAAAGAAAAUUGAAGUCUUAUUAGUAUACAUUAUUCUUUGAAAGUCUUGGUCGUUUUCUUAACAUUUAUCUUUUGGUUGUUUCCUGGAACUUGCAAACACGAGCAGGGUGUUUUGGAUCCACAUGAGAAAAGAUUGCAAAAAAUAAUCAAAUAAAAACGACUAUUUUUUCCCUCUUUUUCCUCCUUAACUGAUUUUGUUUUGGAUCAAAAAAAAAACUCCUCAUUUUAUUUCAGCUAUAAUGACCUUUGAUUUAAAAAACUAGUUACUUUAAAUUUUCUGAGUCUUUUUUUUUUUGUCUUCCUCAAAAUUAAACUUUUUUUUUAAUGAAAAUCAGUAUGUUAAUUGUUAUGUUAGUAUUUUUUUUUUUUUUUUGAAGAAUGUUAUGUUAGUAUUUUAUUUCUUAUUAGAGAAUUUGAAUCAUGAACUUUUAACUACUCAACUUCUUUAAUCCCUUAGAUCAAAUUAGUUGAAAAUCGAAGUUAAUUAAAUUAUUACGCCCCUACCUUCGAUUGAGAUUAAUCAUCAGUGAACGUCUUGGAUAUAAAUUUAAUCUUCUUUUUCAUUUUGUUUGAGUCUUUCCCAUUUUUAAAUUUACGAUUUUAGUUUAGGUUUUCAAAAUGUCUAGCAUUUCCUCCACUAUACAUUUGGGAUUGAAUUUUGAUAAUGUUACUAGUGAGAAAUUCAUGUUGAAAAUGAAUGGAUGACAUAAAAAUUAGUGAUUAAGUAAGAAACCAUCUAAACUACAAGUCACUCUUAUUUAAACUCCCCUUCAUCAUCGAUGUCAAUAUACAAGUCACUCUCAUUUUUUUUACUUAACUAAGAUUUUAUACUAUGUCUAACAUUAACAUGAUAGUGUCUUUUGUAAAGACCCUCCCUUAUUAUCAUCAUUACUAUGAAGGUCAUCAAUACGAUAGAUCCACCACCAUGAACCUUCCCAAAGUUCUUUUCAUCUUCUCGAUCAGAAUAACACACAUUCUUUAGCCAAUACACACUAUGCAAAAGAGAUGGAUGAAAAAUGACAAAAGAGGAUUUUGGUAUUGCCUCGCGUCCUAGUGACAAAAGAGGAUUUUGUUGUAUUUAUCCUCUAUUAUCUUUAUCUUGUUGUUCUUACUUUGAUUGCUAGAUUAAAUCUAGAUCUAAACAUUUUUGCUUUAACUGUUUGGUUGUUGGAUCUCAUUGUUACUUGGUUCACAUCUUUGUUCUUGUUGGUAUUCAUAAAGAGUCUGAAUUCACAACAUAAUGUUUUGUUUUUUCUUUUUCAAAUACAUGUGUCCAAAAAUAAGCCCUUUUUAGUUUUGGAAGAUGAUUUUUGUGCAUUCAUACUCCAAUUCAACAUCUAAUGAUAAAGAAAUAGAGAGGAUAAUGUGAUAUGUUAGUUAUGAGAUAGGAAGAAAUAGAUGUAGAAAAAAUGAGAUGUUGAAUGAUAGUUGUAAAUUAUGGAUGUCCAAAUAUAAGUGCUCUUUAGUUUAUUUAUAAGAAAUAGUUGUAAAUUAUGGAUGUCCAAUGAAAGUUUACAUAUUUAUUUCUUUAACAAACCAAAAAAACAAUACACAAGAAAAUAACAUAAAUUAUUUCCAGCAAACAGCACACAAAUUAUUUCCUGCAUACAACACAUACAAAUUAUCUUAAAUAAAUGUUGUAAGAUUUUCCAGAUUCUUUUUAGCCAUAAUAUGUUUGUUCAUUCUCAAACUCUGCUUGAUUCAUGCUCCAAGCAUUUAGUUCUGAGAUAACCACACUCUGACUUCCAUCAUUGAAUACAAAAAGAUGUGCAUCUUUCUCUAUAGCCAAUAAGGGAUAAACUCUACUUGUUAUCACAACUUUCCCUCCAUCUCCAAAACUCUCAAUAAUCGACCGGUCAAUCUGCAUUUUAAGACCUCAUAUAUAUCAAACUUGCAAGCAUAUGAUAAAGAAAAAAUGAACACCAAUUAUGAUGACAUAAACAUACCAAGCUUCUUAGUGAAAUCGUCUUGACAUUGGGAUCAAUGUCAAAUAUAGUUGCAUAUAUUGGUUUUUCAAGGCCCUCCCUUAAUGAAGACGAAGACCUGUAAAAUGUACAACAUAAUUUCAUGAGAUCUAGUCUUUAAUCACAUACUCAUUUUCAUUGAAAAAUGAAAUGUAUGCAUUGCAGAAUAUGUUUGAAGAGUACAGUAAAAACAAUUACCUGGUCUGGUCACUUAUCAUCAAGCAUUUAUAUUCAUCGCUGACUCUAUAUAUUCGGAAAGAUAUUGUAGUUCUCUCUGUCUGGUCUUCUGAUGCUAAAGCUUGCAAACCAAAUGGCCCUAUCAUGCCUUUUAUUGAUGCAUAUUGUUCUUUACAGAGUUCUUGAGGAUCAACUUCACUUGGUUCUAGCACCUCAGCACUUUCUAGAUCAGGUAGCUCAAACAAGACUUCCACAUCAGCCUUGAAAAGUUAAAUUAGAAAUUAAUCACAGCAGAUUUAUCAACAAAAACUUAAAUACCUAUAUGUCACCGACAAUUUAGAUUGAUGGCAUGUCUGAUGUCCGACAUGUAAUAGUGUUUGACACGACAGACACAUAUUGUUACACUCAAUUACUUUAUAUUUUCUUAAAUUUUUAUCAGUUUCUACUUAGUGUCAUGUCUUGUGUCUGUACUUCGUAGGAGAAAACUCAUAGCAUGCAUCGAUUUAAUUACGUACCUG
rnacentral:lncRNA from 1 species